rnacentral:misc_RNA from 1 species
UGUGGGAGCGAGCUUGCUCGCGAUGGCGUCGGAUCAGCAGCAUUGAAGUUGGCUGAUUCACCGCUAUCGCGAGCAAGCUCGCUCCCACA